rnacentral:rRNA from 1 species
AGUGAACGUUGGCGGCGUGGAUUAGGCAUGCAAGUCGAGCGAGAACCGUAGCAAUACGGGGACAGCGGCGAAAGGGACAGUAAUGUGUAGGUACCUACCUCCGGGUUCGGGAUAGCUGCGGGAAACUGCAGGUAAUACCGAAUAACGUCUCCGGACCAAAGGUGUGAUUCCACCUGGAGAGGGGCCUGCAUCCUAUUAGCUUGUUGGCGGGGUAACGGCCCACCAAGGCGACGAUGGGUAGCGGGUGUGAGAGCACGACCCGCGUCAUUGGGACUGAGACACUGCCCAGACACCUACGGGUGGCUGCAGUCGUGAAUCUUCGGCAAUGGGCGCAAGCCUGACCGAGCGACGCCGCGUGCGGGAUGAAGGCCUUCGGGUUGUAAACCGCUGUCGUAGAGGAGGAAAUGCAGGGGGGUUCUCCCCUCUGUUUGACCUAUUCUAGGAGGAAGUACGGGCUAAGUUCGUGCCAGCCGCCGCAGUAA